rnacentral:lncRNA from 1 species
GGUCAAUGCGAGAGAAGACUUCAGCAACACUGGUGGAGUUAGAAAUCAUGCAAACAGCUCUCUGGACCUUGGCGAGAUCACCACCAGGGACAACAGUGGGUGGUUGGUAGUUGAUACCGCACUUGAAUCCAGUAGGACACCAAUCGACAAACUGAAUGGUGCGCUUGGUCUUAAUGGAGGCGACUGCAGCAUUGACGUCCUUGGGAACAACAUCACCACGGUACAUCAAACAGCAAGCCAUGUACUUUCCAUGGCGUGGAUCGCACUUAGCCAUCAUAGAUGAGGGCUCAAAGGCACUAUUGGUGAUUUCAGCAACUGAGAGCUGCUCGUGGUAAGCCUUCUCAGCAGAGAUGACUGGAGCAUACGAGGAAAGCAUGAAGUGGAUUCUUGGGUAGGGAACCAAGUUGGUUUGGAAUUCAGUCACAUCGACAUUCAAGGCACCAUCAAACCUCAGUGAGGCAGUCAAGGAGGAAAUGACCUGGGAGACAAGACGGUUAAGAUUGGUGUAGGUGGGCCGCUCAAUGUCAAGAGAACGCCUGCAAAUGUCGUAGAUAGCUUCAUUGUCAAGGAGAACAGCCACAUCAGUGUGCUCCAAAAGGGAGUGAGUUGAGAGAACACUGUUGUAAGGCUCAACAACAGAAGUGGAGACCUGAGGAGAUGGGUAGACAGUGAAACCCAACUUGGAUUUCUUGCCAUAAUCGACAGACAAACGCUCCAAAAGGAGAGAACCAAGACCGGACCCGGUACCUCCACCAACAGCGUUGAAAACAAGGAACCCUUGAAGACCAGUGCAGUUAUCAGCAAGUUUCCUGAUGCGGUCCAAACAGAGGUCAACAAUCUCCUUGCCAAUAGUGUAGUGACCACGGGCAAAGUUGUUAGCUGCGUCUUCCUUGCCGCUGAUGAGUUGUUCUGGGUGGAAGAGAUGGCGGUAAGCACCAGUUCUCACUUCAUCAAUAACAGUGGGUUCAAGAUCCACAAAGACGGCACGAGGGACGUGCUUCCCAGCACCAGUUUCACUGAAAAAGGUGUUAAAAGCAUCAUCACCUCCUCCGACAGUUUUGUCACUUGGCAUCUGACCAUCAGGCUGUUAACAGAAACAAAACCGCUCAUAAGAAACUCAGCUUUCAAAGCCUAACAGCAAUAAACAGAUACAUCCCUCAUGGAUUUAAAGCUAAAAAACAGAAUACCAAUCAAACCUGACGGGAAAAACCGACAAAUUUAAAAACACAAACAAAGAUUAACCAGAUCCAGAGCAAGAAAAACCGACACCUUAAAGAUUCAAACAACAAUUAACCAGAUCUGAUUAAGCAUGAACAACAGAGACCUGAAUAAAACACAGAUAUAAACAUAACAAAGCUACAAACGCUGAAACGAAGAAGCAUAAAACACAGAUCUGAAUCAAAACGAAAGGUAACAUUAACAAACGUAAAAUCAUAAAGAAAACGGGAAAAAUACCUGGAUUCCAUGCUCGAGGCAGUAAAGCUCCCAGCAGGCGUUUCCGACCUGGAUACCGGCCUGACCGAUGUGAAUCGAAAUGCACUCUCUCAUUCUCGCUUAAGAAAAAUUCGAAAAAGCAAAGAAAGGGUGAAGAAGAAGAAAGAAGGCGUUUAUUAAGACACCUUCUAAGAUAAAUUCAAAUUUGAAUAUCUGAAGAGUGGUGAAGGGGGAUAUUUAUAGGCGGAUAAUGGGGGGGAAAUACAGGUAUUUGAGGGUGAUGUUGUAACUGUUGUGAUUAAGAUUAGGUCAAGACAGCCCUAAAUGAUGACGUGGGAUAACGUUAUUGGUCUGUUUAACUAUCGUUUUAACUACGGUUAGUUGGCUUUUCUAAUUUUUGAAUAUUUUUAAAAUUUGCCUCCCGGCUGUAUAAUUGGGUUUAUUGCAACUAGCAAGGUGAAUCGGGAUGGGUGGAUUUAACCAAUGUUAUUUGAAUUGGGUCAAUUAGUUAGAUUGAAAAAUAGUUGAGGUUAUCGAUCCGAAAGGUAUUUUUGAACCGAUUAAAUUGAGAAUCAAUUGAAUUGAUUAAAACAGAAUUUUUUUAUUCUUUUAUUCUUUUAAGUUUUUAAUAAACUGACGCUUUCAGCAUCAACAAAUUUAAUAUUCUACUUAAUAUUGUUUUUAGUAAAUAAAAAACAACAAUAGUGAAACAAAAGUACACUCUAAUUCAAACCAGACAGAUUGGACUCCACCAUAAGUAGUUCCCUAAUCGCCAGUAGGGGAUCCUCUAUCAAAUUAAAUCUCAUCAACUCUAGACUUACAAAUUUUGUAAACCGAUUUGCCAUUGUAUUCUGGGCCCGAGGAAUAUGUCUUACACGAACUUCCUAAGGACGAAUAAGCAUACUAUGUAACAACCUUAGUUCUAUCAUCUUGCUAUCCACGUCACCUCCAGCAAGAAUGGUCUCAGCCAACAAGCCAUUAUCACACUCUAACUCCAACUUUUGGAACCAUUUAUCCAAUGCCAAGCAAAGCCCUUCAAGCAUCGCCCUUGCUUCCACUUGAAAUAUAGUACCCUCUCCCAUUGUCAUUGUAAAACCACGUCGUCAGUCCCCAUUAGUGUAUCUAAUAACACCUCCAAUAGAGGCACAAUUCCUUAGUGAGAAUACAACACCAUCAGUAUUAAGUUUAAUGUAACCCUCCUCAAUACGCAACCAAUGUGAACCCUCCUCAAUACGCGACCAAUGUGAAGCUAUUGCCCUUGGAUGAGAAAAAGACAGCCCGAGUCUUCAAGGUAAAACACUCCGCGUCCAACUUGUGCUUUUAUCCACAAGUUCUUGCACACAACUGUGACCAUCCGAGAAAACAAACAAAUUCUAAUUCUUCCAAAUUAGUCAACAAAUAAUAGAGAAGAAAGAAUUCCAAGAGAAAGUAAUAACAUUUUUUAAAUUCCAUUUCAGCUAAUCCUCAUGAGAAAGAGAAAAGAAAUGUACCUGGCUCUAACGUGGUACUAACGUCAUCCAAAUUGCACGUAGAAAUGAGUAAUCCCUCACUGCAUGGAGACUCGUCUCAACCCCACAUCCACAUCGCAUACAAUGGCUAUCAGUAGCCAUAUGUCUUCUCAAUGUUUCUCCAUUAGUUAGGAUCCUAUUAUGCCAAAUGAGCCACAGAAAAACCCUUACUCGUUGGGGCGUCUUGGCCUUUCAAACUAGAUUCCAUUGAAUAGACGAGUUAGUAGAAUCAACUUGGUACAAAUUAUUAAACGUUUCUUUGAAUGAAAACUUAUCACUUGCCCUCCACUUCCAAAUCAAUUGAUCUGGCACACUUGAUGAUGACGGAGGAAUCAUCGCUACAAUAUAAGUCAGAAUUGAACGAAUGAGCCAUCUCCUCAACCGCACCCAAUCCCAAUCUCCUACAUCGGCCACAACAUCACAAACACGUAGCGUAUCGACUGGUUGUCCUCUACCAAUAUAGAAAUCUCUAAGUGGUCUAUGUAAUCUUAGCCAAAUGUCAUUCCAAAAUUAACUGUUCUACCGUCACCAAUAGUCCAUAUGACAUUAUUUAGAACCUCAAGCCAAACCUUCGACAAGAACCUCUAAAAAAAAGAGCAACUGGCUCGUGUAACAGACGCCGAUAGCCGAGUUUGAGGAGAAAAACUUUAUUCUAAUAAACUAAAUUCCGUAAUCCAAGGCCCCUUCUCUCAAUAGGCCGACAACUAUCUUCCCAAGCUAAAAACGUCGAUUUAUGUUCUAAUGAAUAAGAUCCCCAAAUAAAGUUUCGAGCAUGCUUCUCAAUUUCUUGACAUAUGGAAACAGGCAAGUGAACGGCACCUAUAAAAUAAUUGAGUAUAGCUAACAAAUUAGAUUUAGCUAAAGUAAUUCCACCCGUAAGGAAAGCUUAUUUGCAUCCCAUCCAUUGAGCUUCCUUCGAACUUUAUCCACUACAAACUCAAAGUUCUGUUGUCCAACUCUCCCACGAAACAAUGGCAUACCCAAAUACGUACCCAAAUUAUCCAUAUGUUCAAAACUGACUAUAUUGCAAAUAUCAUACACAAUAUCAACAGGAACAUUAGGAUAGAAGAAAAUAUGGAACUUACUUCUAUUGAAUUUUUGCCCCAAGAAAUGGCAAAAAUAUUCAGGAUAUUGUUGAUUAAGCAGCUUGCCCCCUAUCAGCCUCCCCAAAAAGGAAUAGAUCAUUCGCAAAGAAAAGGUGUGUCAACGCCGGCCCAUUCCUAGACAAAGGAUAAAAAUCUUAUGAAAAUUAAAUAAAUUAUAUUCAUUAAAAAUAUUGGCCUUGUUUGACAAUUGGCUGAAAAUUGAUUGUUGAUUGCAGUGAUAGCUAAAAGCUGAUAUAUGUAAAAUGACAAAUAACGGCAUGACACCUUUUAUUUUUAAGUAUUUGUUUGUUUAUAAUACUUUAGUUUUUAUUGGGUGAAAUUGUUGAAAUAAAACACUAUUACCAAUGAAUUAGAACAUCCACUAUGGAAAUUAAUUAGUGAAUAUUUUUAAAAUUUUAAAUAAAUAAAUUAAGUUCCUUAUUUGCAAAUAUUAACUUGUGGAAAUUGAUAAAUAUUAAUAGUGUAUCAAUAUAGUUGACGUAAACUAUAUUCUUACUGAUAAUUAUGCCAUGUUCUUAGUAUGUAAUUAGUGGUAAUUGUGUCACACUUUGAAUAAAUUUGUCAAGUAGCAUAUUUCAAUUAAUAUAAAGUUGCAUAACAAAUCAUUUUACACAAGAAAAUUGAAAAUAAAUUAAUACUACAUAAAUAUUCAAGGAUGAAUAGGCUCAAUCGACAAUUUAUCAAGGCAAUGUUGAUUUUUGUAGAUUCAUUGUGGAGUUUUUUUUUUUUUUUUUGAGAUUGACUUUAGACUUUAGAGGUGAAAGAGAAAAUGAGAGAAUGGAGACUACGAAUAUAUUGGCACCCCUAUUAGGUUUGAGAGCAUGAGGCAAAGGGAGUAAUUUUUGAGUAAGCCUGGUCAGAUAUAUCAUUCCAUAUAUCUAGUUCUCAAUCAGCUGUCGAAUCCAAACAUUUUUUGUUUUGGAGGUUUUAGCUCAACAAGUUCUUGCAAACCUCCAUUCACCAAACACUACAUAUACAACCCAAUUUUUGCCCGGCUCACAAACCAAAUCAAUAAAACAAACCCAAACCAUUAAUAGCCCAAAUGAAAAACAAUUUACCCAGCCCUAAGCCCAAACAUUUUCAGCAAAAAAACAAAAACCUAACCCUAGGUGCGCCGCACCUAGGGUGGUCCACUUGCUCUGCCACCGCCGCAGCCACCUGCCAACUGUUUCGUCAAGACCUGCAAAUACGAAAAGCAGUAGCAACAGCAGAAAUGACAAUUUUUAAUAAUAAAAUGUUUGAAUCGGCUAUAAAACGCCAAGAUCUGAUCCUUGUAAGGGUUACACACUAUUUUUUAGAAUACAAAAAAAGAAGUUCGAAACAGAUUCAAAGAAACAAAUGUGCUUUAUUUUUUUAUUUUUUUAUAUAUUUUUUAUUUCGAAAUAAAGGAAAUAAUAAGAAAAUAAAAGAAAUCUUUUACCUUAAGUGCCGAGGAUGGAGGUUUCUCCGGUCUUGAGGGUGGUUGAGCCAGCGGGCUCGCCAAAAAACCCAACCGACGACGAGGGGAAAUCAAAGGGUUUUGAUUUCUUUUUUUCUUUUCAUUUUUUGCUUUUGAGAGUCUUUUGGACUGCUUUAACCCUAAAUCGGGGCUUUGCUCGAAAAAAGAAGUGAAAAUGUGCUUUUUUGAAUUUUUCAGCCACUGUGCGCGGCGACACCGUCGCCAGCGACCGGUGGUCGGUAUUGCAGUCAUUGGCCGGAGCCAAGACUGGAGGGAAGGAAGGGUUGAGAGAAAACCCUUAAUUUUUCUUUUGAAAAUGAAAAAAAUGAAGUUUUUUUUUAAAAUUGACUUAAAUAGGCCUAUGAAACGGCGUCGUUUUGGGCUUGGUCACCAAUAGACAAAACGGCGUCGUUUUGGCCUUAGGAUCUGCGUGUUGACCCGACUCGUAAAGAGGAUUCGCGUGUUUUUGUCGGAAGGGCUAAUUGCACUUUUAUCCCUUCCGCUUUUUUCUUUGUUUUACAAUCAAGUUUUUACAUUUUUUUAAUUUGGCCCCAUUAAUUCGUCUUGGUUUCCAAUUUAGUCCCUAUUGAACCUGCGCAUUUUGGAGGGUGGGGAUUAUUACUCUUUCAGUCCUUCCCUAUUAUUCACGCAUUCAAAUUAGUCUUUUUCCUUUUAUUUAUUUCAAAUCCCCCUCAAAUAUUUCGUUUUUAGUUCAAUUUAGUCCAUUUUCUUAUUAUUUUAGCUAUUUUAUUAUUUAAUUAAUUAUUUUAAUAUUAUUAUCAUUAUUAUAUUAUACCAUUAAUCUUUUAUUAUUAUCUACUUAUUUAUGCCUUUUAAAUUUUAAAUUUUAUUAUAUAUAUACAUGCAUACAUUUUUAUAAUAUACGUACAUAUUUUUAUAAUUUAUAUAUAUACAUACUUAUAUAUAUUUUUUAUAUUUUAUAAUUUAUAUACAUAUCUAUAUAUAUCUAUAUACAUAUUUUUUAAUUUUCAUAAAUAUAUAUAUACAUACUUAUAUAUAUUUCUUAUUAUAUCUUAUAAUUUAUAUAUAUGUGCAUACAUAUAUCUUUUUACAUUUUUAUAAUUUUAUUCAUUUUCUUUAUUUACUUAUUUAUUUACGUUCUCAUUAUUAUUUUAAAAGAAUGUUUUACUUUUAUUUUCUUAUAUACUUAUUAUUUCAUGUAUAAUUGAUUUGUCAUUUUUAUUUAUCUUAUUUGUUGUCGUUGUUGCGCGUAUUAUUUAUGCUUACAUCAUCGUAUUUAUUAUUGUUUUGUUGCGCAUAUUAACACCAAGUUUUAUUUCUAUUAUUUCAUGUUAGAUUAAUUUUAUUUGAUGCAUAAAUUAUGAUUUUUGAAUAAGCAAAAUUUCGGGUUUAGAUUCGAAAAGGUCGUACCCUAACUUACAGGGUUUCGAUUUUCGCGAUAAAUCUAAAUACACGAAUCUUUUCAAACUUAAGUUUUUAAACGAUCUCGGAAAUCAACAAAAGAUCAUGUUCUAACUUACGGGACAUGAUCCCUUUUCUAAACCCGAGAUAGUUGAAUAUCUUUUUAAAUAAAUAAUUUUUUGGCAUUUAUUCACAUAUCAGGAAUUCGAUAGCUGUGUUCUAAUGCAUUGGAUAUGACAAAUUGUUUUCUCGAGAUGAGGAUUUUUCUAAAAAAAUAAUAAAGGCAAUAUUCAAUGUUUGGAAUAUUGAGAAAUUGUGCCCUAACGUAUUGGACUACGAUUUCUUCAUCUGACUUAAACAAUUGAAUAUCCUUUUGAAUUUUAUUGCAUGAGUUUUUUAAGGACAAGCUCAUUUUUGAGGAUGUGAAAUAUCAUGCCCUAACUCAUUGGGUGUGACAUUUUCUCUCUCCAAUAUGAGAAGGUCUUAGCAUGUAAUUUGAUUUAUACAAGUUUUUUUAACACAAGGAUCGUAUUUCGAAUCUCUUCAAAGUUUCCAAUUCUCGACACUAAGAAACUAAUUAAUCAACUAGGUACCAAUUUUGGGCAUUACGAGGGUGCUAAUCCUUCCUCGUACGUAACCAACUCCCGAACCCGUUUUUCUAAAUCUUGUAGACCAAAAUUGUUGUUUUGAUAAAUAACCACUUUUCGAGGUGACCCAAUUACACCUCAUUCAAAAAGAUUGGUGGCGACUCCCAUAUUCGUUUUUGUUUUCAAAAUCCAAGUCGACCCCGUUUUCACAAAAAAAUGGUGUCAACACUACAAUUAAAGGGUUUGAUUAUCAAUCCUCCAUUUGUGCCCAAAUCAUCUAGAAAAUAUUCAAAACUCUGUUUACCAAACACCUUCAUUAACUUAUUAUCAUAAAUCAUUUUAAAAUUUUUUAACCUAAUUUAUUACAAUAUUUGUAUAAUUAUAUUAAAAUAAUAUGAAAGUUUAUCAAAAUAAUAAUUAUUUAAAAUUGAAUUAUUAUAUAUUCAUAAUUUAUAUUUUUAUUAAAUAUAAUAAAAUAUUUAAUUUUAAUAAUAGAUAUUAAAAGUAAUAAUAUUGUAGAAACAAAAAAAUUUAUUAUAAUAUAUUUAUAUAUAUAUAAGUAAACUUGUCCAUGAAUGGGUUGUCCAUAUGCUAUAGUAGGCUCAACUCGACUUGUAUUGAGCUUGAAAGAAGAUUUUCGUUUCUCAAGAUGGCUCAGCUCGAUCCGAAAUCAAUAAAUAUUAAAAAAAAUAGAUUAAAAUUCAAGUUUAAUUAUAAAUAUAUAAAAAUAAUAUAAAAAAUUAUUAAUAUUUGAACAGUGAAAUGUUCUAAUAGGUUGGGUUGGGUAUAAACCUGUCCAUGGGUCAGACAAUCCGAUCCUACUCAAAGUCCCGCUCAAUAAGUGGGAGGGUUUGGGCAAAAAUAUAGGCACGAAAAAUGGGCUUGGGCAAAAAAAUAAGGACCAUUUAGAAAACGGGUCAGGCCUCGUGUAAAGUUUUUUGGCUCGGGUCAGCUCGACCCGAAUUUGGAAAAAAAGGAAAAAAUUGUUGUUGUUUUCGCACUAUUUUGCUGUCAUUUUACUAUUAUGUUGCUACUAUUUUGUUAUCAUUGUCUGGAUAUUGACAACUCUUGUUUUAUUGUUAAUUUUACUAUUAUUUUAGAGACAUUUACUUGUUAAGUUGCACAUGUCUUAGUGUUAUUUAAGUAUAAAGACUUUUUUUUAUUUUGUUUUCAAUUUGUCGGGAAAUAUUUAUUUUAAUGUUUUUAGUGUUUUUUAUGUAUUAUGUAUUUAAUUUUUUUAUAAAAAAUUUAAUACUAGUGGGUCGGGUUUUAGCAUUUUUAGCUGGGCUAGGUUUGGAUAAAAUUUUAGGCUCAUUUUUUGGACUGGGUACGAUCCUAUCAAGCGGGCUUAAAAUUUUGUUAGAGUUGAUCUUGAACCUGACCUAUCCCAGCCGAUGGACACCUCUAGUUGGGUCAACCUGAAAACCAGCCUAGUUUUGAUUUUGUUUUUUAAAUUGAUUUAUAACUCGACUUAAUCUCUAUAUUUAAGUGAUAAACUUUUAUUGAAAUUAUGAAAUUAUAUUUAAUAUAAUAUAUUUUAAUUUUUACUUAAUAUUAUAUGAUAUAUUAUUUAUUUAUUCAUAUAAAUACUUUUAAAGGCAAACAUGAAAUUUUUUUUAUAUGUUAUUCAAUCUUGCACGGAAUAAGUAUCACAAAAUAAUUGCUAUUAGAAGAAAAAGAGAAAUAGAGAAGAAAUAGUCACCCUAUUGAGUUAUUCUUCCAACCAAACUAAUAAAUCACACCAUUCAUUAUUGGGUAAGAGUGGAAUAACUAUUCGAUUUCCCCAACCAAAUAUGUUGUAAAUGCAACGAUAAGGCACAUCUCAAAUUUAAAAAUAAUAUUAUUAGUAACGACAAUCACAAAAUUUGACAAAAAAAUCUUUGAUUCACCAUUACAUUCAAGUUAUAUAUCACCAAAAAGAAAAAAUGCCCAUAAGCAAUUCACUUCAGAAAAAACAAAUCAAAACAACGAGCCAAGAGAAGGCUUGCCCUAAAAGAACUUCGUCCGACCUAAAGAUCCCAUGGUCACUACAAAUUCCAAAGGAAAUUUAUUCAAUAUUAUCUCAUGUUCUCUCCCAUCACUUCCCAGAGGCUUUAGUAGUGAUUGACUCCCCCAAACUUCAUGUUAGGUCCCAUAAUGUAGCAUUCAAUUGCAUCCUACUAGGAUUUUUUAUGAUUCGACCUUUCAUCCUUCUCAAUUUUUAGGGUACAUUCAUUUUGGUCACCCAAAAUAUAAACCAUUUCAAUUUUGUCACUUUGGUUAGAUAAAAUUUUCAUUUUAGCCAUUCAAUCGUUAACUUUGUUAAGGCAAGUUGUGUGAUUUUAUGCUAAAUGGCACUCAACAGUGCUCAUUGCAACCUGCCACUAAGGUAGUAAAGAUACUUGCCAUAUUUGAGUUGACAAAUUUAUACAAAAAAUAAAUAUUUGGACUAGUUAUUGUGUUGAUGUUUUGAAUAUACUAUAAUCCAUCUAUAGAAACCAAUUCGUGACUAGUAAAGAUUGGAUUAGAUUCGAAUAAAUCAAUACAACCAUUGUUUUGUGGAGAAUUCGUCAGGAUUGUAAUGCUGAUUUUGGAAGGUCAUAUAUUCGUAGGAUUAUGUUUUUGUUGGUUGUAUUAUAAUUGCUAUUUUCAACGAAUUGUUUUGUAUUCAUUUAGAUUCUAUGUUAGCGAGCCGAAAUUGAUAUAUGAUAUGAGGUAUGUCUAGGUGAUGUAUGAGAGCAUAUUGAGAGCACUUGUAUUUAUUCAUUGAGGAACUAUUUGUGUGAAUGUGCAAACUAAUUUGUAAACAUUAGGUGCUUAUUGCCCAAAUUCUCAGGGAAGAAAUUAGAGGUGAAUUGUAACAGCCCGAUUCUGGGCCUAGUCGGAAUAGUGGUUUCGGGACCACAAAUUCGACUAGGGAAAAUAUGACUAUUAUUAUAUUUUUAUGGUCUACAAUUUUACGAAAAAAUUUCGUAAAAAUUUCGUUCAAAAAUUUCGACGUUUGGGCACUCAAUUUAGUCAAAAUGACUAAAUUGUAAAAAGUGCAAAAGUUGAGUUCUACAUGUUAGAAGUGUCAAUUUGUUAUGAAAUUUUAAAUUGGGGGUCCUUAUGUGGUAAUUAGACCAUUAGUUAAUUGAUGGACAAAAAUAGACAUAAGAAAUGGGUGAAAUAGAUUUUUUUAAAUGGGGGGCAUUUUGGUCAUUAGCAAAUAAAUAGAAUUAAAAUGGGAAAAAGAUGGAAAAAUGGUGUCCAUCUUCAUUAAGUUGCUGCCAAAAUUUGGAAGACACCAUACCUAGGGUUUCUUUGCUUUCCCAAGCUCAUAGUAAGUGCAUCCUAGCCCCGUUUUUAAUGUUCUUUGUAUUUUUGAAAUCCUCGUAGCUCGGUUUAGCUUAUUUUACUGUUAAUUCAUGUUAGGGUUUAUAUUUGGAAAAAUACCCAUAGGUGAAAAGUGUUUAUUUUUCUGUUUUAUGGUGGAAUAUGAAGCUAGAAAUUAUGUUAAACAACUUUUACUAAGCGAUUUUAAACGAAAAUGGGUAAAUUGACAUAAUCGGUAAAAAUAGUUAAUGUUCAAAAGUAUGUGUUAGAGUGAGAAUUUGAUGUUUCCAUAGAAGGGAAAAAUGUUCAGCAUGUCAUAAAACAUAAUAAUAAGUGAUGAAGUUUAAUUUCCGAGCUUGGGGACAAAAGUGUAAUUAUGCAAAAGUUUGGGGGCAAUAUUGUAAUUUUUCAAAAAGUUGGGUGGUGGAUUAUUUUAAUAAAUGUGGACAUUAAAUGAGUUAAAUUUGCCAUUAUAGAUCAAGAAAGACGAGAAGACUACCUCAAACGGGGAAAAGAGAAGGUAAUGGAGUAAAUUGCAAAAUUUCGAUAUUUUGCACCGAAGUAAGUAAACAUGUAAUUUAAUGCAUUAUUUUGAUAUUAUUCAAUAUAUGUUAGUAUUUAAUAGAACAUAGAAUAAAUAUUUGGCAAGAUCCUAAAAAUAUGGUUAAGUUGGGUAAGGUGGUAAAGUGUUGAAAAUAUGGGUUUCGGUUGAACACUCGGAAUAAGCCGGAGUACAUGGAAUAUGAAGGGGUUGCUAAGUGCUGAUUCCUCGACUCAAUGGUGGUUGCUAAGUGCUGAUUCCACCGUAUCUUUAAAUAUAAAGGGGGUUGCUAACUGCUGAUUUCCCCAAGGGGUUGCUAAGUGUUGAUUCCCCGAUUCAUUGGUGGUUGCUAAGUGCUGAUUCCACCGUAUCUUUAAAUGUGAAGGGGGUUGCUAAGUGCUGAUUCCCCCAAGGGGUUGCUAAGUGUUGAUUCCCCGAAUGAUUAAUUUCGAAAUCCCCUGUUCCAACUUUGGAAAAUUACCAAAAAUUGUACAAAAAUAAUUAUGGCCUGAAAUUUAUAUUCCUAGAUUCCUUAUUGAGUCUAUUUUUAAUAUAAACAAACAAGACCAUUGUUUAAAUUUUGUACAGAGAGUUAAGUAAAUUUUAGUAAAGGGAGGUCAGAACUGUCGGGCAGUGAAACAGGGGAAUCUUUAAAGAAUAAACUGUACUAAUUGGCUAAAUAAAAAAUUCUAAAAAUGUUAUGGUAGAAAGUUAUAUGAGUCUAGUUUUGGGUAAAAUUUACGGAACUUAAUUUGGAGUCCUGUAGCUCCAGAUAAAAAUAAAUUAGCGUCUGUGACGCAGAAAGACAGUUUGCUGGAAAUUAAACGAACCUUGAAAUUUAUGUGUGACUAAAAUUAUGUUGCUAUGAAAUCAAGUGGGAAAUUUAUUUAUUUGUCAUAUGUUUACUUACUAAGCUAUAUGAUUACUCGUUUUUAUUUUCCCUUGAUUAUAUUGACAUCAGCCAACUCGAAAUUUGGACGAAGUCAGGAAAUCAUCCACACUAUCAUCAAAUUUUUGGGCAUUUUGUAAUUAAUAUUUUGAAAUAUUGAAUGUAUAGAUGACUUUAUGUGAUGUGGUAUAAAUAUAUAUAUAGUGUUGUUCGGUUUAAUAUGUUGGUGAUUAUUAAUGGAAAAAUUAUGUCUGAACAUAUAUCUGUAAUUGGUUGGAAAUAUUGAAGUUGUUUGAAAUUGUUUUUGGAAAGUUGCAGGGGGUUUUAUGUAAAAACAAGCAGAAAUGCUGCCGAAAUUUUUAUAAAAAAAAAUUUAUAAGUGUUUGAGUUCUAGUAAUACCUCAUACUCUGUUUUGGUAAGGAACACGGGUAAGGGGUGUUACAUUUUAGUGGUAUCAGAGCUACGGUUUAGUCGGUUCUUGGACUACUAAAAUAUGUGUGAAAGUUAAUCUAUACAUGCCAUAAUUAUAUUGUGAUAGUGUGAUGAUUUCUGACAAUUUAAAAUUUUAUUUUAUAUAGUAAAUGGAUCCUGACCGAAGUGUGACAGAUGAUGUUGAAAGUAAUGCGCAGGCUCCCACACAAGGGACCGCGCAUGAAGAAAGUAGACAUGAGAUGCAUUGUCAGGAUGAGGCUCGGGAAGCCUUCCUUCGAAUGAUGAGUAAUUGGUACACAGAAUUUGUUCGUGCAAAUCCGAAUGUUCAACCUCCUCCACCCCCUCCUAUUCCUCAACCGGUCCCCGUAGCUCCACAAAGUGUUGAUUUGGUGAGAUCAAGUAAACCUCCCGUUGACAAAAUCCGAAAGCAUGGGGCUGAAGAUUUCAGGGCUAAUGUUGAUGAUGAUCCAGAAAAGCAGAGUUUUGGCUUGAAAACACUAUUCGGGUAUUAGAUGGACUAUCUUGUGCUCCUGAUGAAUGUUUGAAAUGUGUUGUGUCUUUAUUGAAGGAUUUAGCAUACCGUUGGUAGAAAACAUUAAUAUCGGUGGUUCCGAAAGAAAGAGUUACUUGGGACUUCUUUCAGGAGGAAUUCAAAAAAAUAUAUAUAAGCCAACGGUUUAUUGAUCAGAAACGCAAGGAGUUUCUUGAGUUGAAGUAGGGCCGGAUGUCUGUGGCAGAAUAUGAAAGGGAGUUUGUC